GACGAACGCUGGCGGCGUGCUUAACACAUGCAAGUCGAACGGAAAGGCCCUGCUUUUGUGGUGUGCUCGAGUGGCGAACGGGUGAGUAACACGUGAGUACCCUGCCCCUGACUUUGGUAUAACUUCAGGAAACUGGGGCUAAUACCGGAUAGGAGCUCCUGCUGCAUGGUGGGGGUUGGAAAGUUUCGGCGGGUGGGGAUGGACUCGCGGCUUAUCAGCUUGUUGGUGGGGUAGGGGCUUACCAAGGCUUUGACGGGUAGCCGGCCUGGGAGGGUGACCGGCCACAUUGGGCCUGGGAACGGGCCAGGAUUCCUAGGGGGGGCAGCAGGGGGGAAUAUUGAACAAUGGGCGGAAGCCGGAUGCAGCAACGCCGCGGGCGGGAUGACGGCCUUCGGGUGUAAAACCGUUUUCGCCUGUGACGAGGCGUGAGUGACGGUAAUGAGUUAAGAAGCACCGGCUAACUACGUG
rnacentral:rRNA from 1 species